GGUUAAAAAGCUCGUAGUUGGAUUUCUGUCGGUGAGUGGCGCUCCGCCCAUAGUGGUGCUGUAGUCGUCACGCCCCCGUCAUCUUCCCAGGGACUGUGUCUGCACUUCGUUGUGUGGCGCCCUAUCUGGGACUUUUACUUUGAGGAAAUGAGAGUGUUUCAAGCAGGCAUGCGCCGUGAAUACGUUAGCAUGGAAUAAUAGCAUCGGACCUCGUUCCAAAGCUGUUGGUUUCUUGGAGCGAGGUAAAGGUGAGUAGGGAUUGUUGGGGGCAUUCGUAUUUAACUGUCAGAGGUGAAAUUCUUGGAUUUGUUGAAGACGGACUACUGCGAAAGCAUCUGCCAAAGAUGUUCUCAUUGAUCAAGAACGAAAGUUAGGUGAUCGAAGACGAUCAGAUACCGUCCUAGUCUUAACCAUAAACUAUGCCGACUGGAGAUCCGUGGUCGUUAAAUUGGUGACGCCAUGGGCAUCUUGAGAGAAAUCAAAGUCUUUGGGUUCCGGGGGGAGUAUGGUCGCAAGGCUGAAACUUAAAGGAAUUGACGGAAGGGCACCACCAGGAGCGGAGCCUGCGGCUUAAUUUGACUCAACACGGGAAAACUUACCAGGUCCAGACAUAGUAAGGAUUGACAGAUGGAUAGCUCU
rnacentral:rRNA from 1 species